rnacentral:rRNA from 1 species
AUUGAACGCUGGCGGCAUGCCUUACACAUGCAAGUCGAACGGCAGCACGGGUGCUUGCACCUGGUGGCGAGUGGCGAACGGGUGAGUAAUACAUCGGGACAUGUCCUGUAGUGGGGGAUAGCCCGGCGAAAGCCGGAUUAAUACCGCAUACGAUCCACGUAUGACAGCGGGGGCCCUUCGGGCCUCGCGCUAUAGGGUUGGCCGAUGGCUGAUUAGCUAGUUGGUGGGGUAAAGGCCUACCAAGGCGACGAUCAGUAGCUGGUCUGAGAGGACGACCAGCCACACUGGGACUGAGACACGGCCCAGACUCCUACGGGAGGCAGCAGUGGGGAAUUUUGGACAAUGGGCGAAAGCCUGAUCCAGCAAUGCCGCGUGUGUGAAGAAGGCCUUCGGGUUGUAAAGCACUUUUGUCCGGAAAGAAAUCAUUGGCUCUAAUACAGUCGGGGGAUGACGGUACCGGAAGAAUAAGCACCGGCUAACUACGUG